CUUUAUUAUAUCUUGCAUUGUCUCUUUUUCCUCUGUAGUUGUCCUUGGGCAUUUAUUCGUAUUAAGAGUGAGGCAAUCGCAAGAUGAUUGAAAGCUUUGAGUCAGAGAGGCUUAUCUGCUGAUGACUUAUUCUGAGAGGACUUAGCCUUUUCAUUAGGAGCUUUCAAAUUUGUGGUGUCUUCUUUUUGGGACUAUUGUUUUUGUUUUUUUCUGGGAGGAAUCCUCUAAUGUACAGGGAGAAGGAGGUACCUGGGGAUCAGUAUUCACUGUGAAACUUCAUUCUUCUACAUAUUGUCCACUCCAUGUUCCCACCUCCUACCCCCGAGUUAUGUCUGAAGCCUUCAGGUUUCAUUUCUCCAGAGAAUAAGCCUCUUCAUCUUUUAGGGAGGGUGAUAGAGGGUGAUGGUAGUGGUGGUAAUGAUAACCACCAGGCUGGGAGGGGUGGAUGGGAAACACCUAUGGAUCUCACUUAUUUAUAUGUAGACUUUCCUUUGAAUUUGUCCUUUAUAGUCACUAUAAAUACAAUAGAGUGUGUUGUUGGCACUACUACCUCUGCAGAACUCAGCCUGUGGAGUAACUGGAAGCUAGCCUUCUUUAGGAACUCUGCAAGAAAAUCACAUAGCCAAAUUACCUAAUCAAACUACCUAAAAAAACUCUUUGCAGAUAUCUCUUUUUACUAGUUUGCAGAGGGUUAGUUUUGGGUAAAAUAAAGACACAGCAAUAAAUACCUUAACAUUUUUCAAAGACCAAGUUCCCUCUUGAUGUUUUCAUUUGUUUGUUUGCUUGUUUGCUGUCAGAUGUUACUAAGGAUUAAGGGUUUUAAAAUUUUUCUUUCUACAUAGGUAUAAAAAAGAAAAGCCUUUCAGUCUACAUGUUUUGUUGAUUCUGUUUCCUAGUUUUCUUACUUUCUAUUGCCUGCAUCCUGGUUCAAACCACCCUCACUGCUCACUGGUUCUGAUGAAAAUGGCAAAUGCCUUCCACACCUUCACUGCAGCCUUUCUUGUCUUAUCCUAAUCCAUUCCCCACACUGUUGCCAUAAUGAUGGCUUAAAAUCAAUGAUGGGUUGCUUAAAAUGAUGGUAUAACCCUAGAGCAGAGAUUCUUAACUUGAAAUCAUCCAUGAUUGCUGAACUUUAGAAGCCUGUGAGCCCUUUGAAUUAUAGACAAAAAAUUGUUUAUGCUUAUUUUAUUUCAUAGAAGAAGUGUUGGAUUUUAUCAUAUCUUUGAUAGAGGCUGUGAUACCCCCAUGUAGAUUUAAGAUGAUGAAUGAUGAGAGGAAUAGCUGAUGAUCUUAACACACACAACACACAACAAAAAGUCUCCAUUAUUUAUCUGGAAACAUGGUUGCUAGAAAUCCAAACAGCAUCUGUGAUUGAUUGCUAUUCUUUUCUCCCUAUAUAAUGGUGGUAAAAGAAUGGCAGUGAAGUGUCUGUCAAAGUGAACCACAAAUAUGUUCAUUAGGAAACAAGCUGUUAAAAUGGAUCAAGUAUAAAUAUAUUUUGCAUAUCAUAAAAGGCACCUAAAUUAAGGAAAGCUGUGGAAGAGUAGAUAGCCAUUUUUCAAUUAUAUAUGACCAAUGUGGCAUUUUUUGAUAUCUUUCUUAAUAAUUGAAAGAUCUGCAAAUGCUAUACCUCCCUACGUAAUUUGGAGUCACUGCUUUUAAUACAGACAGUGAGUCUAGAAAUCCUACCCCACUUAGAACAGUCAUGCUUUGACUUUUUCCUAUUUGUGCAGUUACCAAGAUUGCACCUCAUUGAACACUUUUAUGUUUAUGCACAUGAAUAUUUACUGGGAAAUAGACCUGGGCAUUAAAGAAAUAAAAGUCAUACAGCUUCCUUGACUUUGUCAGGUUGUUUGUGGAGAGGCUAUUUCGCAAACACACAAGCUACAAAUCAAAGGGAUGUGACACCUUUUUAUAUUAUCAGGCAACAUGGUGAAGACAAAAAUGAAAUGGAGUUUGUGAACUUUAUUACUCUGGGUGACAAGUUAAUACGUGGGUGAUGGUGUGCCGCUCCUAAAUGAGAUUUGUUGCAUCCUCGGAAUUGCGUAAAAUGUCUAAAGAGAGAGGGAAGUUUCCAUUCCGUAGACAGUGGCAUUGGCUUUCCUGAGGAGGUUAGAUUGGAAACUUACAAGUUCACAAUCGUUCACAGGCGAUAAAGUGUGUGAAGUAGAGAGCAGGAAGAGACUGUGCUUGCAUGAAGAAUUUUAAUGACUUAAAGUUUCUUUUCUUAUUAAUUUCAGCAUGGAAAGGGCAGUGAGAUAAGGAAGUCAUCAAUCUUGCAGACAUCUUUUUCCCCUACAAAAGGCCAUGGUUGAUUUGGUACAAACAUCAUAGAGCAGGAAGCCAGAAAAUAGAAUCAAAUCAAACAUGAUUUUAUAGUUGUUAUCAUUCCUAAGAAUAUCUGUGCUCCCAUAGGCAUAUGUCUUAGAUAGGAGGAUAGUGUCAGAAUUCCUGGUCUGUGCACUGAGGGACUGUUGGUCAUCUGGAAUGGAUUUGCCUAUUGGAUAUGAUGGGGCUACUCUAAGAGGCCUCUCUGUGUCUGCUCCUGGACCUACUCGUGAUUCAAGGUUGUGUUUCCUCUUUGCACAUAAGACAGACUUGUUGGUUGAACAGGUGGCACCUGGGUGAGGCUCCAUUUGCGGCAGACCGCUUCAGCAACACCUGCCCUGCCCUCAGACCCCUGUAGUGGCUGAAUUCAUGGAAGACUAGUUCAGGAUUUCAUUAGAUUUUCAAGAAGAGGAUCAUAUUAUCGUCACCCUUCUUCCUGUGAUGAUGUGAGAUGAUAAAAUGCCAACGUGUUCAGGUGAAGUGAAGUGAAUGAAAUGACAAAGGCUGCUACUGACAUUCUGAUGACAGUUAAGAAGGAGGAUUGUUGGCAUCUGGACUGUGGUUGUUUGGGGAACACUGAAACUGCAGAAAACGAAACCAUGGGUAAGGGUCAAAAAAAUUAUUCUGAUGUGGAUACUGGCUGGAUGAGUACAUUGGGCAUCCCUUUCAUGACUUCAGCAUUUUGAUGGUACUACCGUGAUAAAGAAACCAGCUCCUGUCACUUCUGGAAGUUGAACUUUUGAAGUUAGAGAGGACUGUAGUGUACCCUUGGGGAGAGGAGCAAAUGACCUGACUUGGGCAGAACUGGCUUUGGCCCUGUGAACGCAUGUUUCUCCAGCCAUUAUCUGAAAGGUAAUGCUACCAUUACCAGAACCACACAUUCCUGAAAAGAGCUAACACAUGACCUAUAAUCUGUUUCUGCUGUGAUUUUUUUAAACCCCCAACAGGCACUUUGAGUUCUCUGGCACAUCUUGAACCAAUGGCUUUCUUUGAAUGAAUACAGUGGCAAUGGAUUCAUUGACUGUACUCAUUGCUGAUCUCUGUGCUGGAAGGUUCUCUAACUUGUGUAUCACCUAUGACCUUAGGGAUGCCAGUGAGUUAUCCUGUGGUAUGUUCAGCCUGGUCAUUGUCCCCUGUCAGUGAGGCAAUCAUAGAGUUCCAUCUGGAUAAAGAUAGAAGCUAUUUUCACCUUGAUUUUUGUAUUAAAAAAAAACUUUCAAGGAUAAAGAGAAGUUGUAUUGGCUUUUAAGAGACACAUCUGGUGCUUGGCUGAAGGCCAGAUAUUUCCCCACUUGAGUUUUUAUAUCAUUUCAUAGGUUUCAGUGUUUUAUAAUUACUAUGCAUUUGAUAAAAAUGACUUUUCUAAAGUUUGGGGGAGAGUCUUUUGUUUAGGUACAGCAGAGUAUUUUUCAGCUCAAUACUACAGAUGAUACGCCGAAUAUAAGAGAAGUUAAAUUUUUGAUUCAAGGUUGCUAGCUAAUUCUUGGUAGAUUUGGAAUAGAACUAAUGUCCUUUUGCCUUUUGUUAGGUACUCUUUCCUUUAUAUCACACUUUUUUAAGGAUGUUUAAUGCAUUUCAAAAUUAAACUAUCAUUUGAAUCUGCUUAAAGAAAUUACUUAUUCUCUAAUAUCUAUUAUCCUCUUAUCUAAUGGUAGAACCCCUAAUUUUAACUUGGCACAUGGCCACUUGGCAUCAGGACUGUGUCCUAGCCUCCCUUUCAGUUGUAGGUAGCUUUGUGACUAAAUAUUCUUCAGUGGGAAAGAAAUGAUGUGUACAACUGCUUGGUCACACCAAAAAGGAACAGCCUUAACCUUACAUUUCCCUUUUCCUGCUCCCACUCACAAGAGUAGUGAUGUGGAUGCCAUUGAAAAGGGCAAAAUCCUAAAUACAGAGAAGUUAGUAGGAACUUGGAUCCCCAAUACUAUGGAACCAUCCUGCCAGCCCCAGUUUGUCCAUGAGUAGACUUUUAUGCAAGAGCGAGAAAUGCUUACCUUGUUUUAAUCACUGAUAAUUUAGAUCUCAGUUACAGCAACUAAAAUAUAGUACAAUUUAAUCAUUUGCAAAUUUAAUGUCCCAAGUUAAUAUUUUAUAACCACCAAAUUUAAACACAAUAUAUGAACAUUAAUACUUGUGUAAAUGACUGGGAGUCUUGGAAUUAAAUUGCUAUUAUCAAUUCUUCUGUUGCAACAGUCCUUAAAAUAACAUGCACAGUGUGAAAUCUGAUGUUGUGUCUUUAGCAUUUCCUACUGCUCUCCUCUCAGUUGGCUCCAGGUAUAGACAUGCUCCAUGCUCAUUCCUUGGGGUAUGUGUUGUUUUGUUGCUGCUGUUAGUUCUUGAGUUUUAUCCCUCUUCUGCAAAUCUUUUUGCCUAGAAAUCUACAUAUGUCUCUGUUUUCAAAAGCUUAGAAUUUUGCCCAUUGUACCUUUCCAUUUAAUCCUUCCUUGACCACUUCAAUACAUUCUAUUCUCCAUUGCCUUGGUACCUCCAUCCCCUUUGUACACUUAAUCUUUCUCCACAUAAUUUAUUUCCUUUUUUUCCCCUCCUUACUAUGAUACUACCUCUAUGAAAGCAAGGACUUUCCCUGUUUAAUCCAUUGCUGUGUCCCCAACACACUGUUUGGCACCUAGAAAUCACUGGAUGAAUGCAUGUUAUGAGAUGUAUGAAUCAACCAUUAAGUGUUUGGAUAGAUAUAAAUGAUGUCAUGAUCUGGUUAAGGGUGAUAAUAUUAUUCUGAUAACUCAUGUUGUUUUCUGAAAUAUCCAUGAAAGGAAUAUGUUGGCUCUUCUAGAGGUAAAAUCUCAGUGAAGCUAUGACUGAUGAAAAUUUCAUAGACUGGUAGGAAAAGCUCAUCCAUUCACACACAUUAUUGAAUUUCCUUAACAGAUUACUAAUUUCUGAUCUUGAAAUUAUUUGAUAAAAAUCCUAAAAUUUCAAGGAUUUUAGGAAACAGUUUAUCACAUGCAUUCUGCAAUAUAAUUACAUUUUAGUAUUAUAUUUCCUAUCUUCACUUUCCAAAAGUAAGAAUUCUAUGCUAAAUUGGCUGUGAAAAUGAAAGCAAAUGCAGAACAAAUAAGAACAAAUAAUCCUUUCUUGUAAUGCCACUAACCAACGGCUUAACAUUAUAGCAAGAAUACUAUAUUUCAGUUUCAGAACUAUUACCUUACUCUAUUUUUAUAAGUCAAAUUAAAUCCAGCCUGAGGUUAGACUAGAAAUCCAGUAUCAAACAUUUUCAAGAUCCCUUCCUCCAUUCAAAAAUUUUGGGCUUGUGUAUAUCUGGAAAAUCAGAAAUAGGGCUCAUUCCUAGCCUGCAGGCAUUGCAAUCCAUAUCGCCACCAUCGUUGGAUACAUGAUCAGCUCCAUUGCUAGUUUUCUACUCCGUCUUGGGCUCUGCAUGUGAUGGUGCUGUCCCUCACAGCCAUGCUCUCUGCUGACAUGGACCCAGUGUCCAUGUCAAAUCCUCUGCUGUCAAAUCCUGGUGUUAAAUUUCCUACUCCAUCAGCACCCAUCACCUUUCCCCCCAGGAACCUUUGUUUCUGCCCAUAAUAAGAACAUUGAAAAUCUUGUCCUCUUUCUUAUCUGCAGGGAGCGACUUAUUUUUUCCAAUAUACGCUAUAAUCUCUGUGUGAGCUGUAAAGUGCUAUGUUGUCACUAUCUAGAGUCUUGAAAACUAAAGGUAUUUAUUUCAGCUCUAAUUAGGACACAAGUUUAAGGAGGUUAAGACUUUUAAGGAGAUAUUUUAGUGUCAGGAAACAUUGUGAAAGACUUUGAAAUGGGCAAACCAGAAUACUAAUUAUUCUAUCUAGAGUACCCUUUUCAACUAUCUCUACCUUUUGUUUCCUCUGAGCUAUGUUACAAAACUAUUUCAGAAAACUGAGAGGAACGCAAGUAAUUUCUGUCCACAGAAAUUCAAACAAAUGUGUCAAGUUGAAUGUAAUUGAUUAUUGUCCUAUGUAGAUACUGACUAGUUUUACAUCUAUUUGUAAACUCAUUUCAGAAUUCCUGAUAGCCUAUAUAUGGGAGUAUUUUAAGUUCUUUUUUGAGAGAGUUGUACCAUUUUACUGGUUUUCUUAUUUACUGAUGACUUAGAUAUAGUAUUUGACAUGCAUUACUUUUGUAUAUGAGUCAUGAUUUUACCUUUUAAAAAUUGUCCUUCUAUGUUAGCAGCAUAUUGGUGACUGACCUCUUCUUAUGAAGAGGCCAUGGAAAGGAAUGCAUAUAUAUUUUUUUCUUAGUGCAUCCAAAGUAGCCUAAAGCAAAACAGACAAAAUAAACAUUAACAGCAAAGAGGACAUAAACCAACAUUUUCAACUCGCCAUUAUAUAGUCUUUUUAUGUCAGAAUUUUGAGCUUUGGUAGUGAUCAUAAAACAGUUGAUUUGAAGUAUGUUACAGAGAUACAUGAUAUUUAUAAGGAAAGAACAUCUUUGUCUUACUGAUACUUUGUCACAUACUAAAAAAAGUUUAAAAUUGAUCAACAUAUAUGGGAGAAAAAAAUAGCAAUGUUCAAUAAAACUUCAAAAAAUCUAUAAUUAAUUUGAAUUAUAUUAAAAUAGAAUAUGUAGAAUUUCAUUCCAGGUUUGGGCUAAAUUUUACUUCUGUGUACAAAAACUAACAUAUUUCAAACAUUGAUUUUUAAAGAAAAAUUUUAAGUCUAUUAAUUUAAAAAUGAUUUCAGUGUCUAUGCCCACACUAUUAGGAAUGAGAUGAUGAUUGGUAUCCUCAGAAAUCUCAGUUUAUUAUGUUUGAACGUAAAAAGCCCAUUAAUUGUAUCAUACAUCAUUCUUAUCUGUUCAUGAAAUAUGUUUCCAAAGCCAUGACAUGUAAUUGGUUUAAUUUUAAUAGAAAUUAGUAUUGAAAAAUUAUAUGUAGCUUUUGGCAGAUAUAGCCAAAAUUUCUUUAUUUUCUACCUACCUUCCUCAAAUUAUUCUAUCACAGAGAAAAUUUAAGAUAGUUUUCAUUUUUUCAUUGCUACUUAAGAGACCUCUGGGUGAGCAGUAGAAGGUAUAACUGAUUUUUAAUAUUUCAUCUCCACUUGAUUUUUCCCUGACUCUCAUCCUGAAAAGAUUCUGUUAAUUAUUAAAAUAGAUCAGUAUUGAAGAGGUUAAGAAAAGAUGAAAAAUACUUAAAAAGUGAAAAUAUUAAUAAUCUAGAGCCUAUAAAUUUAUUUUGUAAAUGAUUAGAAGUUGACAGAAAUAGAAUAGAGAACUAUGUUUAGUUAUUUUAUUGAGAGAGAAAUAAAAGGAAUUUUGUUGAAAUCACACACUUAAAAUAACUUACCAUAAGCAGAUGAUUAAGGGAAUUUCUGAAUAGAUAGAAUUAUAAUUAUAUAAAGGCCUUCAGUAACUCUUUAUUAUAACUUUGACAAAGUUUUCAGUGGUUUAAAAAUUCAAAACCUAAUUAAAAUUAGCUGAGAUUGGAACAUUGUCAUGUAAAUUUAGAACUAGGUAAACAAAGGAUAAUAAAUUAGAAGAGCAGUAGGGAUAAUAAAAAUGCUGUGAUUUGGGGGUGAAAUUAAAAUGUAAUAACUAGGGGCAUCUGGGUGGCUCAGUUGUUGAGAAUCUGGCUCUUGAUUUCAGCUCAGGUCAUGAUCCCAGAGUGAAGAGAUUGAGUCCUGCAUCGGACUCUGUGCUGAGCAUGGAACCUGCUUAGGAUUCUCUCUUUCUCUCUCUCUCUCUGUCUCUCUCUCUCUGUCUCUCUCUCCCUCUGCCCCUCUCCCCUGCUCACAUGCUCUCUGUCUAAAAACAAACAAACAAACAAAAAUAUAUAUACACACAUAUAUAAAGUGUAAUAACUAUAACUGAGUAAAUACUGAAGAAAAACAUCUUUCAUUCAGAUAUAUGGAUUUAUAUGAUAGAGUAACAUUUUUAAAGUCACCACAUAAGUAAGAUUUAAUAAUCUGCUCCAACUAUAUCUUGUGAAAAUAUGAAUACCAACUAAUUGGAAUGAAUUAUUAUAUGGUGUCUUUUCUUAAUAAGAUAAAGUUAUUUAUUUUAAUGUUUAUUUAUUUUUGAGAGAAAGAGAGAGGGACAGAGCAGAGCUGGGGCAGAGAGAGAGAGAGGGAGACAGAGAAUCCCAAGCCGGCUCUACACUGUCAGCACAGAGACCAACAUGGGGCUCAAACUCACAAACUGUGAGAUCAUGAUCUGAGCUGAAAUCAAGAGCCAGAUGCUUAACUAAGCCACCUAGGCAUCCCUAAAAUAGUUUUAAAAAGCUUUUUUAAAUGUAUUGGUAUUUGAGUUUUAGAAAAAGUUGGAUGUGGAUACAAAUAGACUCAUUUUGACCACUUAUUGAGGGUUUACUUAAUACCAGACACCAGCCAAGUAAGUUUGCAUGUUGUACCUUAUUUAAUCCACACGGUAUCUCUAUGAAAUGACACUGAGUUUCUCAGUCUCUCUCAAUUAUUCUCAUGUGAACAUUAUGCCUUAACUGGAGUAGUGGAUCUUCUGUUACUCUUUUAUUCUUCAUCCAUCUCUCUUCGCACGUGGAUAUCAUGCGUUGUAAUGUACCUCAAAGAAGACAAUUCAGUCCAGGCAUGAAACCAUUACUUCAGUUUUUUUUAAAAAAAUUGUUGUACCUGAAUCAGGACAAUUUUUACUACUUGUCAGCACAUCCUGUAUGCUAGUCACUGCCCUAAACCAUUUCCAUAUGUUAUAUAAGCUUCAUGAUAAUUCUGUGUGAUAGAUAUUAGGAUCACCCUUAGUUUCCUGAAUGGAGAGCAUAGGGUCAGACAAGUUAUGUAAAUCAUCCAGUGCUACAAAAUAGUUGGUGGCAGAUCUGGGGUUACAUUUCUUUUUGUAUGACUUCAAAGCUUGUUCUCUGUCUUUUUAUAGUAUUCUACCUUCCUCGAAAUUGUGUUACUCUAAUUUUCACGCAUACACACACACACACACACACACACACACACACGUACCCAUUGAAGUAAAAUGUAUAUAUAGUGAAUGCGCAGAUACUACAUGUACAGUUCAAUGAGUUUUGAUGAAUGUAUGUAUAUAUUAUGCAAUCACCACACAGUCAAGAUAUAGAACAUAUGAAUCACUUCAGAAAACUCCCUCAUCUUCCUUCAAGGAAAUUUGCAACCAAAUAUGUAAAUGUUGUUCUGAUAUUUAUUACCAUGGAGUAUUUUUUCCUUCCCUUGAACUUCAUAUAAAUAGAAUAGUAUAGUACAUACUCUUUAUGUCUGCUUCUUUCACUCACCAUUUUGUUUUUAAGAUUUAUUCAUGUUGCGGUGCUGCUUUGGCAGCACAUAGUAAAAUUGAAAUGAUUCACCCAUGUGGUGCAUUUCAUUAUUUUUUAAUAUCAUAUUGCACAUCUUUUGUUAAUUUUUACAUAAGGAUUUUUUUGGUUUUAGUGGUAUUAUAAAUGGAUUGUUUCCUCUAAAUUCUUUCUUUCUUUCACUGCUAUAAUAUUAUAUUGAAAUACCAUUGAAGUUUUUAUGUUGAUCAUGUAUCCAUGAAAAUUGGUAAAUUCACCUGUUCUUGUUAUGGGCUGAAUUUUGAUCUCUCAAAAUUCAUAUGUUGAAGCAUAACUCCCAAUAACUUCAGAAUGUGACAGUAUUUGGACUUAGACCUUCAAAGGAGUAAUUAAAUUAGAAUGUGGUAAGUAGAGUGGUGCUA